rnacentral:rRNA from 1 species
ACUGACCGAUAGUGAACCAGUACCGUGAGGGAAAGGCGAAAAGAACCCCGGCGAGGGGAGUGAAAAAGAACCUGAAACCGUGUACGUACAAGCAGUGGGAGCACAGGUUUACCUGUGUGACUGCGUACCUUUUGUAUAAUGGGUCAGCGACUUAUAUUCUGUAGCAAGGUUAACCGAAUAGGGGAGCCGGAGGGAAACCGAGUCUUAAUUGGGCGUUAAGUUGCAGGGUAUAGACCCGAAACCCGGUGAUCUAGCCAUGGGCAGGUUGAAGGUUGGGUAACACUAACUGGAGGACCGAACCGACUAAUGUUGAAAAAUUAGCGGAUGACCUGUGGCUGGGGGUGAAAGGCCAAUCAAACCGGGAGAUAGCUGGUUCUCCCCGAAAGCUAUUUAGGUAGCGCCUCGUGAAUUCAUCUCCGGGGGUAGAGCACUGUUUCGGCUAGGGGGCCAUCCCGGCUUACCAACCCGAUGCAAACUGCGAAUACCGGAGAAUGUUAUCACGGGAGACACACGGCGGGUGCUAACGUCCGUCGUGAAGAGGGAAACAACCCAGACCGCCAGCUAAGGUCCCAAAGUCAUGGUUAAGUGGGAAACGAUGUGGGAAGGCCCAGACAGCCAGGAUGUUGGCUUAGAAGCAGCCAUCAUUUAAAGAAAGCGUAAUAGCUCACUGGUCGAGUCGGCCUGCGCGGAAGAUGUAACGGGGCUAAACCAUGCACCGAAGCUGCGGCAGCGACGCUGAUGCGUUGUUGGGUAGGGGAG